rnacentral:rRNA from 1 species
AGGCAUGGUGGGGGGGAGGCUAUAUUGACGGCAUGUCAUGUCCUGAAUAAAGUUCCGACAAAGGAUAGUGAGAUCACUCCCUAUGAGAAAUGGGCAAAGAGAAGGACGACACUCUCGUACUUGCGCACUUGGGGCUGUUUGGCGAAAGUCAACGUGCCAAUCCCCAAAAAGCGUAAGCUUGGACAUAAGACCGUGGACUGCAUUAAUUUGGGCUACGCUAAGAACAGCGUUGGCUAUAGAUUUCUAGUAGUGAAAUCUGAGGUACCUGACCAGAAGAUCGGUACAAUUAUGGAGUCUAAGGAUGCUACAUUCUUUGAGGAUAUUUUUCCUAUGAGAGAUAUGCAAAGCACUUCUAGACAGGAAUCUGAGGAGACUCCUGAACCUGCCAUCCCUAUGGAAUAUUAUGAACAAACACAUGAUGAAAAUUCCGAGGAGGAUGACGAGGAAACCCUUGGUAGGGGCAAGAGACAAAGGACUGCAAAGACCUUUGGUGAUGAUUUCUUCGUGUACCUCGUGGAUGAUACUCCCACUUCUAUUUCAGAAGCGUAUGCCUCUCCAGAAGCUGACUACUGGAAGGAUGCGGUCCGUAGCGAGAUGGAUUCCAUCAUGGCUAACGGGACAUGGGAG